AGAGUUUGAUCAUGGCUCAGGACGAACGCUGGCGGCGUGCCUAACACAUGCAAGUCGAACGGGGAGCAAUACAGUGGCGAACGGGUGCGUAACACGUGAGGAACAUGACUUCCGGUGGGGGAUAGCCGGCCCAACGGCCGGGUAAUACCGCAUACGUUCGCGCGAGGGGCAUCCCUCGUGUCGGAAAGCAGCAAGCGCCGGAAAGGUGCCUCGCAUCAGCUAGUUGGUGGGGUAACGGCCUACCAAGGCGAAGACGCGUAGCUGGUCUGAGAGGAUGAUCAGCCACACUGGGACUGAGACACGGCCCAGACUCCUACGGGAGGCAGCAGUGGGGAAUAUUGGACAAUGGGCGCAAGCCUGAUCCAGCCACGCCGCGUGAGUGAUGAAGGCCUUCGGGUCGUAAGCUCUGUGGGGAGGGACGAACCGCCAGAUGUUCAUAGCAUUUGGCUGACGGUACCUCCUUAGCAAGCACCGGGCUACUUCUGUGCCAGCAGCCGCGGUAAUAC
rnacentral:rRNA from 1 species